rnacentral:rRNA from 1 species
GACGAACGCUGGCGGCGUGCUUAACACAUGCAAGUCGAACGAUGAACCCGGAGCUUGCUCCGGUGGAUUAGUGGCGAACGGGUGAGUAACACGUGAGUAACCUGCCCUUGACUCUGGGAUAACUGCGGGAAACUGUAGCUAAUACCGGAUACGACCCUCGGCGGCAUCGCCAGGGGGUGGAAAGAAUUUCGGUCAAGGAUGGACUCGCGGCCUAUCAGCUAGUUGGUGAGGUAACGGCUCACCAAGGCGACGACGGGUAGCCGGCCUGAGAGGGUGACCGGCCACACUGGGACUGAGACACGGCCCAGACUCCUACGGGAGGCAGCAGUGGGGAAUAUUGCACAAUGGGCGCAAGCCUGAUGCAGCGACGCCGCGUGAGGGAUGACGGCCUUCGGGUUGUAAACCUCUUUCAGCACCGACGAAGCGCAAGUGACGGUAGGUGCAGAAGAAGGACCGGCCAACUACGUGCCAGCCGCCGCGGUAA